rnacentral:ncRNA from 1 species
CAGCGGGUGAGAGUCCCGCCCGGGUAAGCGCCGGAGCACCCGGAAGCAGACCCCAGGUCCAGGGAGAGAUCCUUGCGGCCCGAGCGGGGUGUCGAAAGCCUGUCCUUGGAGACAGGGAGCGAAGCUGCGGGCCGCAACGCGC